UGAGGAAUAUUGGUCAAUGGGCGAGAGCCUGAACCAGCCAAGUAGCGUGCAGGAUGACGGCCCUAUGGGUUGUAAACUGCUUUUAUGUGGGGAUAAAGUGCGUGACGUGUCAUGCAUUGCAGGUACCACAUGAAUAAGGACCGGCUAAUUCCGUGCCAGCAGCCGCGGUAAUACGGAAGGUCCGGGCGUUAUCCGGAUUUAUUGGGUUUAAAGGGAGCGUAGGCUGUCUAUUAAGCGUGUUGUGAAAUUUACCGGCUCAACCGGUGGCUUGUAGCGCGAACUGGUCGACUUGAGUAUGCAGGAAGUAGGCGGAAUUCAUGGUGUAGCGGUGAAAUGCUUAGAUAUCAUGACGAACUCCGAUUGCGCAGGCAGCUUACUGUAGCAUAACUGACGCUGAUGCUCGAAAGUGCGGGUAUCAAACAGG
rnacentral:rRNA from 1 species